CCUACGGGAGGCAGCAGUGGGGAAUAUUGGACAAUGGGCGCAAGCCUGAUCCAGCCAUGCCGCGUGUGUGAAGAAGGCCUUCGGGUUGUAAAGCACUUUUGUUGGGGAAGCGGUACCCAAAGAAUAAGCACCGGCUAACUUCGUGCCAGCAGCCGCGGUAAUACGAAGGGUGCAAGCGUUACUCGGAAUUACUGGGCGUAAAGCGUGCGUAGGCGGUUGGUUAAGUCUGCUGUGAAAGCCCUGGGCUCAACCUGGGAACUGCAGUGGAAACUGGCCAGCUAGAGUGUGUCAGAGGAUGGUGGAAUUCCCGGUGUAGCGGUGAAAUGCGUAGAGAUCGGGAGGAACACCAGUGGCGAAGGCGGCCAUCUGGGACAAACUGACGCUGAGGCACGAAAGCGUGGGGAGCAAACAGGAUUAGAUACCCUGGUAGUC
rnacentral:rRNA from 1 species